rnacentral:Y_RNA from 1 species
GGUUGGUCCGAGUGCAGUGGUGUUUACAACUAAUUGAUCACAACCAGUUGCAGAUUCCUUUGUUCCUUCUCCACUCCCACUGCUCCACUUGACCAGCCUUGA